AAUAAUAAAAAAUUAUGGGAAAAAAUGAUCAAAUUUUGCUACAUUAUGCGGGGUGCAUAAAACCACGGGGACAGUUCUCAAUAUUUGUUGGCACGAUGAUUUGCCCGUCUAUUUUGCCCACGUUCGACGAUGUCUUUUGAUUGUCCUCUAUCGACGAUCGAGCGCCAGUUUUCCUUUCUCUGCCUGGCCCGGCACUUUUAGUUCGUGGUUCCCCGACAGAAUGUGGAACAAUUCUUCCUCCAUAUUUCUUAUUUCUUUGAACCAGAGUGUCAAUGACAUGUAGAUAUACACAUCUUAUUUCUUUGAACCAGAGUGUCAAUGACAUGCAAAUAAGCACAUCUUCUUAUUUCUUAGAACCAAAGUGUCGAUGACAUGUAGGUAAACACAUCUUAUUUCUUAGAACCAGAGUGUCAAUGACAUGUAGGUAAACACAUCUUCUUAUUUCUUUGAACCAGAGUGUCAAUGACAUGUAGAUAUACACAUCUAUGCGUCCCCUGUUAUAUCACAUCUGUGCGUCCCCUGUUGUUACAUUCAGAAUUUUAUUUUUAUUGCUCAGACAGCGUUACCUCCAACAAAUGUGUUCAUUGAAUGUUGAAGUGAGUGAAAUAGUUUGCUGUACAAUUUUUUUAACUUCAAUUUUCUUGUUAUUUUCAAAUGGUGUACCUGUUUCUCAUGGAUAAAAACGACAAGACGCACCGAUAUCGUCAGCAAGCUGCUGUACUGUUCUAAGCCUAGAAUGCAAAUUUUUUUUUCUAGAGAGAGUAAAAGACUGUCUUAAUUACUUAAUAUACUUUUAAAAAUUGUACCUUUAUGUAUUUUUUCUUGCUUUCUUUUUUAACAUUCAAAACAUUUUUUGAGCAAACACUACCGAUACUCAGUGAUACUCUUUAAAAAAAAAUUUUUUUUUAAUUUUUGGGCUUUGUACAUUUUAACAGCUGGCUGACAAUAUGGGGAUAAAAGCAGUUCAGUUUAUAAUGGUGGCAUGUGUGCCUAACCAAUUUUCUGCUCCUUUUGCUAUAAUUAAAUCGAGACUGUAUAUUAGCAGACUACUUCAGAAACUGUUCUGUUACAACGUUAUGGGCCUAAAAGGGAAUGAUGAAUGUGUGUUUACACAACAAAUCAAGUCAUGGGGAAAUGUCACAUUUUUAUUUACAUUCCAAGCAAUAUCAGAAAACAUAAACUUAAACAUGUCAUUUUACAAGUCAAAUAAUUCCAGUUACCCGUGCAGCCACUGCCAAUCUAUGAAGCAAGGACAGGCUGUGGAAUUGGAAGCUCAAGUGAGGGGUUUGAGAAAAAAAUAAAUUUUCUGCAGAACAGAAUGUUGUAAUGAUCUUGAGGAUCAGACUUAGUGUGUCCAUAAAUAAUACCCUCUACUGUAAUGUAAUUUAAAUUACUCUCCUGAUAUUUUUCACUUUAUCAGGCACAAUAUUUUUUACACAAACUCAGAAUUAAUCUGGCUUGUCAAUAAAGAGUAUCUGGCACAUUUGAGUGAUAAGUCCACCAAAACUGUUCAGAUGAUAGGAUAAAAUAAAAUUCCAGUCCAGCCAUGUUUCCAUACAGCUUUGCAAAGAUAAGAAAUAGUUGUCCUGAUACUCUGCAAGUGUAAUUCUGCUGAGCGCCACUAGUAGUAGGCCCUACUUUAUUUCUUUACCAUCAGUUGUUUCUACCUGUCUGAAUUGUAUUUUCCCUGCAAUAAAUGACCGUUAUUACCUCAGUGUAC
rnacentral:lncRNA from 1 species